ensembl:lncRNA
GGUGAGAGAAAGAUGAAUCAGGGACAGGGGAGACAGAUAACGGGGGACAGGUGAGAGAAAGAUGAAUCAGGGACAGGGGAGACAGAUAACGGGGGACAGGUGAGAGAAAGAUGAAUCAGGGACAGGGGAGACAGAUAACGGGGGACAGGUGAGAGAGAGAUGAAUUAGGGACAGGUGAGACAGAGACAACGGGGGACAGGUGAGAGACGGACAAACGAGAGAAAAAGGUGAUGAUACCAAAAGUAACCACAUCAUGGAGGUACAGGAGGUAGAGAGUCCAUCAGGCAGAUGGUGUCUGUGUUUUGUUGUUUACUGGAUAGAAGACACCAGGUGAUCUCAUGAUUGACAGCCCUGGACAAUGACAUAAUGAGUCAGCACAGAGGGGGACGUCUCACGAACUCACUGGUCUUCAAAGGGCCCCCUGCUGCUUUCGGGUCGCCAGGAUGGAAUGUUUCCUCCUUCUGGAGCUUUCUGUCCCCUCGUGUGAUCUUCAGGAGACAAUGAAUCCGUUUGCGUGGGAACGAACAAAGUGUGAAAUGUCUGUUUCUCCAUGACGACUGUUUGAUGAAGAUCACACACACGACCACAGCCUGUCAGCUGUCACGAGCUCCAUCAUUGGAGAACACACACACAAGUUGGUUUCUGUGUGCGUGUGUGUGUGUGUGUGUGUGUGUGCGUGUGUGUGUGUGUUUUAGACAUGUAUAUCGUGUAGACGGUGAUGGCACGCUGUGUGUGUCGACAGAAAGUGCUUCCACAAUGAUGUCAUGCACUUCAGGACAUACCUUACAAGUGUGUGUGUGUGUGUGUUUGCAUGUAGUGUGUGUAGACGUGGACACGUCUCAGCCCCCUCAGGGCGCGUUAUGAUCCUUCCCUCGGGUGUGAAGCACACUCACAGACACACUCACGCACAGUGUGUCACUCAGCUGUCUGCGAGCUAAAUGCAAAGCUAUGGCCGGCAACUGGUUAGCUUAGCUUAGCAUUAAGACUGGUUCUGAGAGUAACUAAAUAGCCACCACUUGCUUCGGAUGAAAUUAUAAAAUUGAAUUGUAUUUCUAAAUAUUGUCUCUCUCCAAUGACAUUUUGAAUUUCUUUUUCCUUGACAUUUUUUGUAUUGUUUUUUUUUCAAAAGAUUUUUUGACCUAAUAUUUUUUUACUUUUAUUCCAUGACAGUUAAAAUUUAAAAAAUAACGCAUUCUGAAUAUUCUAUUUUUUAUCUUAAUUAUUCUGACUUUCUUUUUAAAAACAAAUAUUUUUAGAUUUUUUACAGGCUAAAUAUUUACUGUAUAUUUUUGAAUGUUCUUCAAAACAUUUUUUAAAUAUUUUUAUUUAUGACAUUUUUAGACAAUGUAUAUUUUCCAUGACAUUCAUUUUCAACCUAAUAAUUUUAUGUAUUUCUGUUUAUUUUCCAUCUUAGAUAUACUUUUUUUAAAAGAAAAAGUGUGUCAACUUCGUUCAAUAAAACCGCAAGCUUUACACCAAAGGUCGAUUGCAACUUCAGCUUAGAACUAUAUAGUUCCAAUUUUAAAUGUAUGCCAACAUAUAUUGUAUACAUAUAAAUAGAUAUUUAGCAUUUUCUUUAGUAAUCGCUGUGACUCCUGGUCAGGGUUAAACGUUAAGCUAUCGAGCCCGAGCUUUAAAAUCAUCCAAG